UACGUAGGGACCAAGCGUUGUCCGGAAUUAUUGGGCGUAAAGAGCUCGUAGGCGGUUUGGUAAGUCGGGUGUGAAAUCUCCACGCUCAACGUGGAGGGGCUACUCGAUACUGCCAUGACUCGAGUCCGGUAGGGGAGUGUGGAAUUCCCGGUGUAGCGGUGAAAUGCGCAGAGAUCGGGAGGAACACCCGUAGCGAAGGCGGCACUCUGGGCCGGUACUGACGCUGAGGAGCGAAAGCGUGGGGAGCAAACAGG
rnacentral:rRNA from 1 species